rnacentral:rRNA from 1 species
UGAAUUGACGGGACCCGCACAAGCGGUGGAUGAUGUGUUUAAUUCGAUGCAACGCGAAAAACCUUACCCACCUUUGACAUGUACGGAAGUUGCCAGAGAUGGCUUCGUGCUCGAAAGAGAGCCGUAACACAGGUGCUGCAUGGCUGUCGUCAGCUCGUGUCGUGAGAUGUUGGGUUAAGUCCCGCAACGAGCGCAACCCUUGUCAUUAGUUGCUACGAAAGGGCACUCUAAUGAGACUGCCGGUGACAAACCGGAGGAAGGUGGGGAUGACGUCAAGUCCUCAUGGCCCUUAUAGGUGGGGCUACACACGUCAUACAAUGGCUGGUACAAAGGGUUGCCAACCCGCGAGGGGGAGCCAAUCCCAUAAAGCCAGUCGUAGUCCGGAUCGCAGUCUGCAACUCGACUGCGUGAAGUCGGAAUCGCUAGUAAUCGUGGAUCAGCAUGUCACGGUGAAUACGUUCCCGGGUCUU